rnacentral:lncRNA from 1 species
UAUUCUGUAACUUUUAACAAAUCGAAUAGAAAUGACCAAGUCGAAUCGUAAUUACCCGAAAUCUGAAUGUUUGAUAUCUAUCGCGUCAUUUUCGUGUUUGGAUUGGCAUUCUGUAACUCACAUCGUAAGCAGGUUAAAUCGAAAUCGGCAAUUUCUAUUUCACGCGGUCAAGAGUGGGUGGCAACCCCGCAUUGUCAAGCGAAAUUAGUGUUCUGUGACCUGUGUCUUGCUGGUUCUAAAUUUGAAAUACGACACCGUUGCCGUAUCUUCAAUUUUUCAUACUAUCACAUUACAUACAGUUACAUUUUUAAAAAUAGUUUUGAAAUAGCAAAAAAAAACGUUUUGAAAAGUAAACAAUAAAAUAUUAGUGUAAAUAUUGGACACAAAAACAUCAAAAGAUGAUAAAUGGUUUUAAAUCAAAGUUAAUUAAAAUUGUUAUAAAAAAGAAGAUAAACUGAUAAAUA